rnacentral:rRNA from 1 species
CGGGGGGAGCAAGCGUUGUUCGGAUUUACUGGGCGUAAAGGGCGCGUAGGCGGCCACCGCAAGUCGGUUGUGAAAUCUCCGGGCUUAACCCGGAAAGGUCAAUCGAUACUGCGGGGCUAGAGUGCAGAAGGGGCAACUGGAAUUCUCGGUGUAGCGGUGAAAUGCGUAGAUAUCGAGAGGAACACCUGCGGCGAAGGCGGGUUGCUGGGCUGACACUGACGCUGAAGCGCGAAAGCUAGGGGAGCGAACGGGAUUAGAUACCCCGGUAGUCCUAGCCUUAAACGAUGAGUGCUUGGUGUCUGGGGUUUUAUAGUCCCCGGGUGCCGUCGCUAACGCUUUAAGCAUUCCGCCUGGGGAGUACGGUCGCAAGACUG